rnacentral:rRNA from 1 species
GAUGAACGCUGACAGAAUGCUUAACACAUGCAAGUCAACUUGAAUUUGGGUUUUUAACUUAGGUUUGGGUGGCGGACGGGUGAGUAACGCGUAAAGAGCUUGCCUCACAGCUAGGGACAACAUUUGGAAACGAAUGCUAAUACCUAAUAUUAUGAUAAUAGGGCAUCCUAUAAUUAUGAAAGCUAUAAGCGCUGUGAGAGAGCUUUGCGUCCCAUUAGCUAGUUGGAGAGGUAACGGCUCACCAAGGCGAUGAUGGGUAGCCGGCCUGAGAGGGUGAUCGGCCACAAGGGGACUGAGACACGGCCCUUACUCCUACGGGAGGCAGCAGUGGGGAAUAUUGGACAAUGGACCGAGAGUCUGAUCCAGCAAUUCUGUGUGCACGAUGAAGUUUUUCGGAAUGUAAAGUGCUUUCAGUUGGGAAGAAACAAAUGACGGUACCAACAGAAGAAGUGACGGCUAAAUACGUG